UACGUAGGGGGCGAACGUUGUCCGGAUUUAUUGGGCGUAAAGAGCUCGUAGGCGGCUCAGCAAGUCGGCCGUGAAAACCCGGGGCUUAACCCCGGGACGCCGGUCGAAACUGCUGUGGCUAGGGUCCGGUAGAGGAGAGUGGAAUUCCCGGUGUAGCGGUGAAAUGCGCAGAUAUCGGGAGGAACACCAGUAGCGAAGGCGGCUCUCUGGGCCGGUACCGACGCUGAGGAGCGAAAGCUAGGGGAGCGAACAGGAUUAG
rnacentral:rRNA from 1 species